rnacentral:rRNA from 1 species
GACGCACCGUGCGAACGUUGUUCGGAAUCACUGGGCUUAAAGGGCGCGUAGGCGGGCUGUCAAGUCUGGGGUGAAAUGCCGCGGCUCAACCGUGGAACUGCCUCAGAUACUGACGGCCUCGAGGAAGGUAGGGGCAUGCGGAACUGUAGGUGGAGCGGUGGAAUGCGCAGAUAUCGGAAGGAACGCCGGUGGCGAAAGCGACGUGCUGGACCCUUUCUGACGCUGAGGCGCGAAAGCCAGGGGAGCAAACGGG